UGCUUCCUCUGCCUCACCUCAUGCCAGUCGGCAAGCCUUGCCAUUCUUUCAGGAUUGAACGACAGCUGCUGGUUCAUGCCUCAUGUCUGCCUGCUGAAAGCACUGGACUGUAGCUGCCGGUUUGUGCCUGGUGUCUGCCUGCCUAGAGGACUGAUCUGCAGCUGCUGAGUCAUAUUUGGUGUUUGCUACGAGACUGAUCUGCUGACAAAGAAAAUCGAGCUCACCCCCAAAGAACUAUUGCUGGGCUUUUCCACUCUGCACCAAACACCACAGGUCAACCUAUGAAGCUGACCAGGAGAACCAAAGUGCUUGGCAGGACUGGUUCACAGAGACAGUGUAUACAGAGGAGCAUGAACCUCGUGGAAGCACCAGCCGCCCAUCAUCCACAGCGUGAAAUGCCUCGUGUGAGACGGUGAUGUGCUCCCCAGGAAGAGGAAGACAGGCUCGGGAUUUUCACUGAACUUCCUGCUUGGUCCAGGAUACCCACCACUUUGCCCAUAGGCCUGCUUCUGCUAACCUGUGGAAAGGGUUCCUGUUCUGACAUUCAAAUGUCUGCUGACAGCGAAGGCUCCAGGAUGCGCACACUGUAGAACACGGCCAGCUCCUUCUAUCACGCCCACAGCCUGGGGAACCUGUGGUCCCUGUGCGAUCUCCAGGGUGAGUCAUGAGCCACACCCCCCAUCACGAUCCCCUCUAUCACAGGGAGAAAUGAUGUCUCAAUAACAACCUAAGGUCACUUGCA